rnacentral:sRNA from 1 species
UGGAGGGGGAAGGCAAGCGCGAAGCGCUUUUAAAAUGCCUUCCGACGACUUGCCCUCGAACGCUAGUGAGGGGGCGCAGCCUUGU